rnacentral:rRNA from 1 species
GACGAACGCUGGCGGCGUGCUUAGCACAUGCAAGUCGAACGGAAAGGCCCUGCUUGCAGGGUACUCGAGUGGCGAACGGGUGAGUAACACGUGGGUGAUCUGCCCUGCACUUCGGGAUAAGCCUGGGAAACUGGGUCUAAUACCGGAUAGGAGCCAUUUUUAGUGUGAUGGUUGGAAAGUUUUUUCGGUGUAGGAUGAGCUCGCGGCCUAUCAGCUUGUUGGUGGGGUAAUGGCCUACCAAGGCGGCGACGGGUAGCCGGCCUGAGAGGGUGGACGGCCACAUUGGGACUGAGAUACGGCCCAGACUCCUACGGGAGGCAGCAGUGGGGAAUAUUGCACAAUGGGCGCAAGCCUGAUGCAGCGACGCCGCGUGGGGGAUGACGGCCUUCGGGUUGUAAACUCCUUUCGCUAGGGACGAAGCUUUUUGUGACGGUACCUAGAGAAGAAGCACCGGCUAACUACGUG